AUUUAUUUUAUUAGUCUCUAUUUGUAUACAUAAACUAGAUUUUAACCCGCGGUACACCGCGGAGAUAAUUUAUUUUUUAAAGUUAGUAUAUAUAAAAAUUUGCAAAUUUUA
rnacentral:sRNA from 1 species